rnacentral:tRNA from 2 species
GGAUGGGUGGCAGAGCGGUUUAAUGCACUGGUCUUGAAAACCAGCGUGCAUGUGAGUGCACCGUGGGUUCGAAUCCCACCCCAUCCG